rnacentral:lncRNA from 1 species
GCAUGGCUGCUGGGCAGCCAGGUCAACCGGACGGCAAGGCAGGGGUUGGCCGGGGAAGCACUGCGCCGCCCCUGCAUGCCCUGCAUCCUCGGGUCCUGGGAGGGCUGCUCAGUAACUGGAAGGAAAAUGAAACUGAAAAAGAGCAAGGGUCCCGUAGGAUUGAACACAGUUGGUGAAACUUGGGCCGUCUGCCUCAAGUCCCCGCUUGGCAAAACCACUCCCUCCUGGUGGACGCCCUCACCAUGAAGUUCCCAGGUGAUGUUGCCGCUGCUUGCUGGAACCACACUUUGAGAACCACUGAUCUUCGCAUCCGUUCCCUCCUCACCAGGCCCCACAGGCGCUGUGGUCCAGCCCAUCUGGGGUCAUUUCUUGCUGAGAUUAUGAUCCUGUUAGCCUUGUAAUUUAUCUGACCUCCUUAAAACAUUAUUGUUAUUUGAGACAGUGUCCCGCUGUCACCCAGGCUGGAGUACAGUGAGCUGUGAGGUGACCACGGCUCACAGCCUCAACCUUGGGCUCCAGCAGUCCUCCUGCCUUGGCUGGAUUCAGUGCUGGGGUUACAGGUGUGAGCCACUGCUCCCGGCCAAAGUCUCAUUUUUGAUGCCUCAGUUCCCACCCAAGACAUCACGUCUCAUACUCUGCUUCCUGUGUCUUGUGAACAGUGACAGUGCUGUAGGAAAGAGUAAGCUGGAAAAAGAGAAGGUUCAGAACGACAGUGCUGACGCAGACAUCACACAGCGG